rnacentral:misc_RNA from 1 species
GAUGAAGAACGCAGCGAAAUACGAUAAGUAGUGUGAAUUGCAGAAUUCAGUGAAUCAUCGAAUCUUUGAACGCACAUUGCGCCCCUUGGUAUUCCAUGGGGCAUGCCUGUUCGAGCGUCAUUUGUACCUUCAAGCUUUGCUUGGUGUUGGGUGUUUGUCUCGCCUUUGCGUGUAGACUCGCCUUAAAAUAAUUGGCAGCCGGCGUAUUGAUUUCGGAGCGCAGUACAUCUCGCGCUUUGCACUCAUAACGACAGCGUCCAAAAGUACAUUUUACACUCUUGACCUCGGAUCAGGUAGGGAUACCCGCUGAACUUAAGCAUAUCAAUAAGCGGAGGA